CACACACACGUACGUUUGCUGGUCUGUGCAGGCAGAUUAGUGUCACAGCUGUAACUGAGGCACAGAGCAAUAAACAUAGCAGAAGCAAUUUCCAUGGUGGCAAGAGGGGGCACGGGAGGUGAUGACAAUGAGAAGGAUCUCUUCUUCUGACAAGUUUUAGGAAGCACGGGACGUUUACGCAGGUACGAUAAAUAAAUGAAUAUUGGACUACAUCACAUAGGUCCUGGAGAACAAAAGAGGCUUUGCACUGAAAUCCCUCCAAAGCUUUCUGAAAAUGCUAAUAGAGAGAAGUUUUCCUGGCAUGAAAAAGUAAAUCAUACACAAAGUUAGUUGAACAACAUUUUAUACAUCACUCAUCCUGUUACAUCCAUGAAGCUGUUCCAUUUCCCUGUAAGGACGAAUCUUUGGCUGACCUCGUUGAGAUGAAUGAAGAACAUGGCAGAUGAAAUGAGAAGGAGGGGAUUAUCCAUCUGAAAACUGAGGACAUCCAGUUAAAGCUCAUCU